GAGAAGAACACCCAAAUAUUACAAACUGGCAAAAAAACACUAAUGGGAGAACACCCCAAAACACGAUGUGUCAUCAAAUAUUUUUUAUCAGUAGGCAGGUCUGACCAUGGCAAUGUGGUGUUGUUGAUUGUUCCAUACAGCUUUUAUAACUAAAGUUUGACUAAACUGAUAUCAAUUGUGGCCAUUAUUAUGAGUCACUGAGAAUAUCCCUCUAUGGGGGUUGAUGGGUUGUGGUGCAUCCUCUGUUUAUUCAGGCACAAAGGGAGCUCUUCAGCAUACCAACAGAAACAUUCGCAUAAAUAUUAUUGAGGCCACCAGCAUCAUAGACUAUGAAGAUACAGAUACCAUUAGCUCGAGACGUCAGACACCAGUUAUUUCGUGGCAAAGUCAAGUGCGGCCAAUAGCUUCAGAUAAAUUAUCUAACACUCUGCCAAAAGUAAUGACUUCUCAAGAGGACUCAAAAAAUAAUGAAACCGUUGAACGACCCCCAUCACCUGUUCCACAAAAUUCUAAGCUACUUCACAGAACUUCUGCAUCUUCUCUAGUAAUAGAAAAAAAUGAAUAAGACACUUAUGCACAAGGCUGCAUAUUUUAACAAGGUUACAAAGACAGUUUGUGUGGAAACACAAACUCAAAAUCGUCCUUGAAAUUGUCCACCUAGAGUCUUCAUGAGGAUUGAAACACAGGACUUCCAGCUCCAAGUGCUCCCUCUGCGACAGCAUCUCCAUAUAUUAAUUUAGCGUACAUAUAUUUUUAAAAACAAUUAAUGAUUAACUUUAUCC
rnacentral:sRNA from 1 species